AAAAAAGGAAUUUUAAGGAAAUAAAAAUCAUGACCGAAAUUUGAAAUUCAAAUUUUCUGCGGAAACCGAAGGGUUGCAGUCCCAUCGCCGCCUGCCCCUGACACGCUUGCGUCAUUUCCCUGCGUAAGCCCUCUCCCAGACCGUUCCAAUCCCUAGCUCUCCACCUACACACUUUGCAACGCAAAGUGGGCUCGGAUCAACCUCUGGGCCUUUUUCCAAUUAUCUCGGCCCGACUUACCUGCAAGUUAGUGCAUCCAAACACGAAACAAAACAACUUAAAAGAAAAGAAAAGAAAAAUCGGUAUAGACCAUACCGAAGUAACCACGCUGGGUUGCCUCCCAGCAAGCGCUCUUGUUUCCCGUCUUGAGCUCGACCUCCCUUCACUCUUCACUCGUACUCAGGGUCGAGGAGGUAGCAUUCCUCCUUCUCCUUUUCUAUUUCAGCAAGCUCGUGAUAAGGCUUAAGGCGGUGCCCAUUCACCACGAACGUAUCAAC
rnacentral:lncRNA from 1 species